UACGAGGGGGGCGAGCGUUGUUCGGAAUUAUUGGGCGUAAAGGGUGGCGUAAGGCGGUUCCGCAAGUCCUGUGUGAAAUCUUCGGGCUCAACUCGAAGUCUGCACGGGAAACUGCGGGGCUUGAGUGUGGGAGAGGUGAGUGGAAUUCCCGGUGUGAGCGGUGAAAUGCGUGAGAAUAUCGGGAGGAACACCUGUGGCGAAAGCGGCUCACUGGACCAUAACUGACGCUGGAUGCACGAAAGCUGGGGGAGCAAACAGG
rnacentral:rRNA from 1 species